GAUGAACGCUGGCGGCGUGCCUAAUACAUGCAAGUCGAGCGAACAGACGAGGAGCUUGCUCCUCUGACGUUAGCGGCGGACGGGUGAGUAACACGUGGAUAACCUACCUAUAAGACUGGGAUAACUUCGGGAAACCGGAGCUAAUACCGUAUAAUAUAUUGAACCGCAUGGUUCAAUAGUGAAAGACGGUUUUGCUGUCACUUAUAGAUGGAUCCCCGCCGCAUUAGCUAGUUGGUAAGGUAACGGCUUACCAAGGCAACGAUGCGUAGCCGACCUGAGAGGGUGAUCGGCCACACUGGAACUGAGACACGGUCCAGACUCCUACGGGAGGCAGCAGUAGGGAAUCUUCCGCAAUGGGCGAAAGCCUGACGGAGCAACGCCGCGUGAGUGAUGAAGGUCUUCGGAUCGUAAAACUCUGUUAUUAGGGAAGAACAAAUGUGUAAGUAACUAUGCACGUCUUGACGGUACCUAAUCAGAAAGCCACGGCUAACUACGUG
rnacentral:rRNA from 1 species